AGUCAGUGGGGGUAGACGCGAAACCUUGUGAUCUACCCAUGGCCUGGUUGAAGUUCCGGUAACACGGAAUGGAGGACCGAACCGAUAAGCGUUGAAAAGCUUCCGGAUGAGCUGUGGGUAGGGGUGAAAGGCCAAUCAAACUGGGAAAUAGCUCGUACUCCCCGAAAUGCAUUUAGGUGCAGCGUUGAGGUAGAGUCUUAUAGAGGUAGAGCUACUGAUUGGACUAGGGGGCUUCACCGCCUACCAAAUCCUGACAAACUCCGAAUGCUAUAAGAUAUGAUCAGCAGUGAGGGUAUGGGUGCUAAGGUCCCAAUCCGAGAGGGAAAGAACCCAGACCAUCAGCUAAGGUCCCCAAAUAUAUACUAAGUUGAACUAACGUUGUGCGGUUGCAUUGACAGCUAGGAUGUUGGCUUGGAAGCAGCCAUUCAUUUAAAGAGUGCGUAACAGCUCACUAGUCGAGCGAUCGUGCGUGGAUAAUAAGCGGGCAUUAAGUGUAUUACCGAAGCUAUGGAUUUAAUAGUAAUAUUAACUGGUAGGGGAGCAUUCUAGUUGCGUAGAAGGUGUGAUGUGAGUCAUGCUGGAGCGGCUAGAAAAGCAAAUGUAGGAAUGAGUAACGAUAAUGCAGGCGAGAAACCUGCACACCGAUAGACUAAGGUUUCCUGAGCGACGCUAAUCGGCUCAGGGUUAGUCGGGACCUAACGCGAACCCGAAGGGGGUAGUGGAUGGAUAAUGGGUUAAUAUUCCCAUACUUGUUAUAACUGCGAUGGGGUGACGGAUUGAUGAAAGUACCGCGCACUGACGGAAUAGUGCGUUAAAGGGAGUAGGUAUACGAUUUGUAGGAAAAUCCGCAGAUCGUGCUGAACCUGAUAGUACCGAGAGGCUUCGGCUGAUUGGAUAGUGUACCUAAAGGAUUCCAAGAAAAACCUCUAAGCUUCAGGUUAUAACAACUCGUACCGUAAACCGACACAGGUAGUCGAGAUGAGAAUUCUAAGGUGCUCGAGUGAUUCAUGGCUAAGGAACUAGGCAAAAUGGUCUCGUAACUUCGGGAGAAGAGACGCCAGCAGCAAUGCUGGCCGCAGUGAAUAGGCCCAGGCGACUGUUUAACAAAAACACAUGGCUUUGCAAAAUUGAAAGAUGAAGUAUAAGGCCUGACACCUGCCCGGUGCUGGAAGGUUAAGAGGAGAUGUUAGUUUCGGCGAAGCAUUGAAUUGAAGCCCCAGUAAACGGCGGCCGUAACUAUAACGGUCCUAAGGUAGCGAAAUUCCUUGUCGGGUAAGUUCCGACCUG
rnacentral:rRNA from 1 species